rnacentral:rRNA from 1 species
UAGUCCACGCCGUAAACGAUGAUAACUGGUUCUGGGCGAUAUAUUGUCCGUGACUGAGCGAAAGCAUUAAGUUAUCCACCUGGGGAGUACGCCGCAAGGUUAAAACUCAAAGGAAUUGACGGGGACCCGCACAAGCGGUGGAGCAUGUUGUUUAAUUCGAAGCAACGCGAAGAACCUUACCCACACUUAACUAUCCUCUUGGGACUUUCAGAGAUGAUUGUCUUCGGUUCGGCCGGGGAGUGAAUAGGUGCUGCAUGGCUGUCGUCAGCUCGUGUCGUGAGAUGUUCGGUUAAGUCCGGUAACGAGCGCAACCCUUAUUGAUAGUUGCCAUCAUUCAGUUGGGCACUCUAUUGACACUGCCGGUGAUAAGCCGGAGGAAGGCGGGGACGACGUCAAGUCAUCAUGGCCCUUACGUGUGGGGCUACAAACGUGCUACAAUGGCAGUGACAGUGGGCAGCUACCUCGCGAGAGGAUGCUAAUCUCCAAAAACUGUCUCAGUUCGGAUU